UGAAUACGAGAUGCUACGGCGUCGAAGCAGUGUAUGUCAGACUUCCAAGAAAAGCUCGCAAUGUCAUAAAUAAAGAAUGCCUGUACCAUAACCGACACAGGUGGGUAGGUAGAGUAUACUAAGGGGCGCGAGAUAACUCUCUCUAAGGAACUCGGCAAAAUAACUCCGUAACUUCGGGAGAAGGAGUGCCUUCUUUAAGAAGGUUGCAAUAACAAGAUCCAAGCAACUGUUUAUCAAGAACACAGGUCUCCGCUAAGUCGUAAGACGAUGUAUGGGGGCUGACGCCUGCCCAGUGCCAGAAGGUUAAAGAAGUUGGUUAGCUUUUGCGAAGCUGAUGACUGAAGCCCUGGUGAACGGCGGCCGUAACAAUAACGGUCCUAAGGUAGCGAAAUUCCUUGUCGGGUAAGUUCCGACCCGCACGAAAGGCGUAAUGAUUUGGAUACUGUCUCGGAGAGGGACUCGGUGAAAUAGACUUGUCUGUGAAGAUGCGGACUACCUGCACCAGGACAGAAAGACCCUAUGAAGCUUUACUGUAACUUGAAAUUGAAAUUGGACUUUAUUUGCGCAGUAUAGGUGGAAGGCGUUGAAAGUAAUCUUGCGGGAUUAGUGGAGCCAUCAGUGAGAUACCACUCCUAUAAUGUUAGAUUUCUAACUUUGGAUCAUGAUCUGGUCAAAGAACAGUUUCAGGCGGGCAGUUUGACUGGGGCGGUCGCCUCCCAAAUGGUAACGGAGGCGUACAAAGGUUUCCUCUGAACGGGUAGAAAUCGUAUCUAGAGUGUAAAGGCAUAAGGAAGCUUGACUGUGAGACCUACAAGUCGAGCAGGGACGAAAGUCGGUCUUAGUGAUCUGACGGUGCUGAGUGGAAAGGCCGUCACUCAACGGAUAAAAGUUACUCUAGGAUAACAGGCUGAUCUCCCCCAAGAGUUCACAUCGACGGGGAGGUUUGGCACCUCGAUGUCGGCUCAUCGCAUCCUGGGGCGGUAGUACGUCCCAAGGGUUGGGCUGUUCGCCCAUGAAAGCGGUACGCGAGCUGGGUUCAGAACGUCGUGAGACAGUUCGGUCCAUAUCCGGUGUAGGCGUUAGAAUAUUGAGAGGAGCCUUCUUUAGUACGAGAGGACCGAGAAGGACAUACCUCUGGUGUACCAGUUAUCGUGCCAACGGUAAACGCUGGGUAGCUAUGUAUGGAGAGGAUAGCCGCUGAAAGCAUCUAAGUGGGAAGCCCACCUCAAGAUGAGUAUUCCC
rnacentral:rRNA from 1 species